rnacentral:tRNA from 1 species
AAAAGGUUAAACACUAAGAACUGCUAAUUCCUAGCUCUAAAAAUAAACUUUUAGGCCUUUUA